CAAUAGGAGCGAGCGUCCGCAGCCGCGUCACCAGUGUCCAGGCAGAAGGAGGCGAGCGGGUUGGCGGCUGGAGAAGUGAAAGUCCAGGAGACGCGGGAUCCCCCAGGCUGGGCUUCCCCACCGCGGACCCUCCCGGUCCCGACCCGGAACUGUCCCCCUGUCCUCCAGACCCGCGGCCUGGAAACGUCGAGGGGGGAGUGACAUGGAUUCAGAGACCCUAAUGGAAACUCUCUUUUGACAAACGACCAACCCAUGGAGAACAGGAGAAGACAGAGGGAUGCUCAGAGACAAUGACCCUGAGCCUUGGAAGAAUUUCACUCUAGUCUGGACUGACCUGGAUCUCACUCUGCAGUCCAAGCUGGCCUUGAACUCGUGACAGUCUCUUUCUUCAAAGUCCCCAAGUGCUCAUGUCAUAGAUGUGAGCCAUCAUCAAGACCACUUUCCCCUCACAUUCUUCAAGCAAUGUAUA